UUUUGCCGGUUUUCUUAAGUUUGUUUUUGUUUUUAAUAUUUAUUGAAAAUUGAAUGCAAUUUGAGCAAUAAUUCAGUAACUAAGUUUUGUUUCAUUAUCUUGAUUUUGAUGUCCUUGUUUGAUCGAAGUCAACAAAGUCCGAACGUCUUCCGGCCUGAUCAAAGAUGAGUCAGGAGUCAGCUGAUGACGAAACAGACGUCAUCGCUUCCAGGUUUGUUCAAUGGUGUUUAAGUUAGGUGUUGCCGCAUAAGUGCAGAACAGUUUCCAGCCUAUUUGCUGGUGGAAAAUGUUCUUGGAUUAAAUCAAAUUUGUUCUGUCUGUCUUGUCUUAUGGAAACCGCUGCCGCCGUUAUCAACACAUCUGUCACGAAAAAGGCAACGCUAUAACACUCGAGUGCUCGCACAAUGGAUCGCUAAAACUCCUCUGCUUGUGUGAUGAGUCUGAUACUCUGAUCUGAAUGUUACAUCCAUGGCAUUCUUUUUCAGCCUAUUGUCUUUCACGUUUCGUUGCAAUGUUAUGUGAUUUUUAAGCUUUUUGUAAUAUUUUGAUUUCAGAAAUAAAUACCGUAAAUCUUCUCUU